UACGUAGGGAGCAAGCGUUGUCCGGAAUCAUUGGGCGUAAAGCGCGCGUAGGCGGCCACAUAAGUCCGCUGUGAAAGUCAAAGGCUCAACCUUUGAAAGCCGGUGGAUACUGUGGGGCUAGAGUACGGAAGAGGCGAGUGGAAUUCCUGGUGUAGCGGUGGAAUGCGCAGAUAUCAGGAGGAACACCAAUAGCGAAGGCAGCUCGCUGGGACGUUACUGACACUGAGGCGCGAAAGCGUGGGGAGCGAACAGG
rnacentral:rRNA from 1 species